ACUUACAGAUGGGCCCGCGGUGCAUUAGCUAGUUGGUGAGGUAACGGCUCACCAAGGCAACGAUGCAUAGCCGACCUGAGAGGGUGAUCGGCCACACUGGGACUGAGACACGGCCCAGACUCCUACGGGAGGCAGCAGUAGGGAAUCUUCCGCAAUGGACGAAAGUCUGACGGAGCAACGCCGCGUGAGUGAUGAAGGCUUUCGGGUCGUAAAACUCUGUUGUUAGGGAAGAACAAGUACUAUUGACGGUACCUAACCAGAAAGCCACGGCUAACUACGUGCCAGCAGCCGCGGUAAUACGUAGGUGGCAAGCGUUAUCCGGAAUUAUUGGGCGUAAAGCGCGCGCAGGCGGUUUCUUAAGUCUGAUGUGAAAGCCCACGGCUCAACCGUGGAGGGUCAUUGGAAACUGGGGAACUUGAGUGCAGAAGAGAAAAGCGGAAUUCAUGUAUCGGUGAAAUGCGUAUAGAU
rnacentral:rRNA from 2 species